CGCUGCCGAGCCACAGGCUGCCUGCAAAAAUAUCUGCCUAUGUAUAUGUAUGAGGAGAACUCGCUUUAAAAGGCAUGGGCGAGGCAGUGAAAAUGUGCUAAUAGCGUGGCAUCUGGCCGGGCACCUGACAGUAUGGCAUCUGACAGUGGAACCAGGGGAAGGAAAUGGCAGCUUGAAGCUGAGAGCAAGAUUUCCCCGUAAUGUGAAACAGUACACUGGCCCUGGUGUGAAAGGAACUACGCUGAUUUACAUCCAGAAAGGCUGUGGCUCUCUAGCAUACUAAAUAUCCCGUGCUAUUGCUGCACCAGGUACUCAGCUGAGGUAUACAACUGUCCAGUGCUCACAGUACUGUGGGGAAAUGCUC
rnacentral:lncRNA from 1 species